rnacentral:sRNA from 20 species
GUCAACAGAACCCGUCAUUGAAAUAACGGGCUUGUAGUGAAAACUACUAGCUCCGUUGUUUUAAUGACGACCGGUUGAUUAGCUUAAGUAUUAAGUUACUACGUUACCGCUGAAAUUAGGUACUUUGGAACGCCACCCUAAUUCCAAACACUACG